CGAAGGAGAGGUUUGCCUUGCGGCCGUUGAGCAGGAUGGUCCCGGAGAGGAAGGCGUUGGCGGCGAGGCGGCCGGCGAGCGCGUCGAGCAGCGUGGACUUGCCGGAGCCGGAGGGGCCCAUGAGCGCGGUGAUGGUCGUGAGAGCAGAGCAGACGAGGGCAAGCCGGGGGUUCCUCUUGGCGACAAGUGGUGGGAACGCACGCACACGGCUCGUUCUCCUCGCCGCAGCUACGUAUGGGAGGAAGCUAGCUGGCCGUACAAGCCAGGCCGGCGUGGGAGAAGAAUGGCGUUUCUUGGGCGGCGUGUCCAAGCUGCAACUGUAGGCUGCUCUCUCUCUCUCUCUCUCUCUCUCUUUCUCUCUCUCUCUCUCUCUCUCUCUCUGUGACUGCCUCUGGGUCUCUGUGUACGCGCUUGGGGUGGCGAGUUUUUAUGAAGGAGCGAGGAGUGAAGCGAAGUGAAGAGGGGGUGGAUGCGAGGAGUUAAUGGAGGCGCAGAGGCGAGAGAGACGGGCUGCGGGGGUUUGACCUGGGGUCAAGCGAGAGGAGGGGGCGGCGCAUGCAUGCGAUGCAGAUGAGGCGGUGGAUGCCUGUUUGGUGUGAGCUUGGCGCGGAGAGGAACACAUGCAUGCAACGGGGGUGCAAAACCGCCGGGUCACGCACACACCGUUUAGACGCUCUCGGCCGCUACCUGCCUUCCUUCGAUCGCAGUUUGGCUGGACAGAAUUGUAGUAUUGCACUGUUGCUGGUUGAUCCAACAGCUAGGGUAGAGAGCAACUUGCAAAUUCAGCAUCAGGUUUCAUGACAACUUGUUUCUACGAGAGUGGACCAAAAGAAAAAUCUAAUACUCUCUCCGUUCACAGAUAUAAGAUGUUCUGGCUUUUUUCCAAACCGAAUUUAUGUGGACACAUUUUGAUGUGUUUGUUCAUCGUUUAAGUCUGUGUGUAGUCCAUUAAAAUAUCAAAAUAUCUCAUAUUUGUGAACGGAGGGAGUACAUGGUUGGUGUAAACUAAAACAAAGAGUAUCGUUUUCUCUUUAUUGAUCGACGAAAAAAAAAGAAA